UACGAAGGGGGCUAGCGUUGCUCGGAAUCACUGGGCGUAAAGGGUGCGUAGGCGGGUCUUUAAGUCAGGGGUGAAAUCCUGGAGCUCAACUCCAGAACUGCCUUUGAUACUGAAGAUCUUGAGUUCGGGAGAGGUGAGUGGAACUGCGAGUGUAGAGGUGAAAUUCGUAGAUAUUCGCAAGAACACCAGUGGCGAAGGCGGCGUCCUGGACCGAUACUGACGCUGAGGAGCGAAAGCGUGGGGAGCGAAGAGG
rnacentral:rRNA from 1 species